rnacentral:rRNA from 1 species
CCUGAUGCAGCAACGCCGCGUGAGGGACGACGGCCUUCGGGUUGUAAACCUCUUUUAGCAAGGAAGAAGCGAAAGUGACGGUACUUGCAGAAAAAGCGCCGGCUAACUACGUGCCAGCAGCCGCGGUAAUACGUAGGGCGCAAGCGUUAUCCGGAAUUAUUGGGCGUAAAGAGCUCGUAGGCGGUUUGUCGCGUCUGCUGUGAAAACCCGAGGCUCAACCUCGGGCCUGCAGUGGGUACGGGCAGACUAGAGUGCGGUAGGGGAGAUUGGAAUUCCUGGUGUAGCGGUGGAAUGCGCAGAUAUCAGGAGGAACACCGAUGGCGAAGGCAGAUCUCUGGGCCGUAACUGACGCUGAGGAGCGAAAGGGUGGGGAGCAAACAGGCUUAGAUACCCUGGUAGUCCACCCCGUAAACGUUGGGAACUAGUUGUGGGGUCCAUUCCACGGAUUCCGUGACGCAGCUAACGCAUUAAGUUCCCCGCCUGGGGAGUACGGCCGCAAGGCUAAAACUCAAAGGAAUUGACGGGGACCCGCACAAGCGGCGGAGCAUGCGGAUUAAUUCGAUGCAACGCGAAGAACCUUACCAAGGCUUGACAUAUACGAGAACGCUGCAGAAAUGUAGAACUCUUU